rnacentral:rRNA from 1 species
UGUAGGACUGCAAUGUGGACUCAAAGAUUAUAGAAGAAUGAUUUGGGAAGAUCAGCCAAAGAGAGUAAUAGCCUCGUAUUUAAAAUAGUCUUUGUACUUAGCAGUAUCCUGAGUACGGCGGGACACGUGAAAUCCCGUCGGAAUCUGGGAGGACCAUCUCCCAACCCUAAAUACUCCCUAGUGACCGAUAGUGAACCAGUACCGUGAGGGAAAGGUGAAAAGCACCCCGGGAGGGGAGUGAAAUAGAACCUGAAACCGUGUGCCUACAACAAGUUCGAGCCCGUUAAUGGGUGAGAGCGUGCCUUUUGUAGAAUGAACCGGCGAGUUACGUUAUGAUGCGAGGUUAAGUUGAAGAGACGGAGCCGUAGGGAAACCGAGUCUGAAUAGGGCGCCUUAGUAUCAUGACGUAGACCCGAAACCAUGUGACCUACCCAUGAGCAGGUUGAAGGUGCGGUAAGACGCACUGGAGGACCGAACCAGGGCACGUUGAAAAGUGCUUGGAUGACUUGUGGGUAGCGGAGAAAUUCCAAACGAACUUGGAGAUAGCUGGUUCUCUCCGAAAUAGCUUUAGGGCUAGCGUCGACAUUAGAGAUUCUUGGAGGUAGAGCACUGUUUGGGUGAGGGGUCCAUCCCGGAUUACCAAUCUCAGAUAAACUCCGAAUGCCAAUGAAUUAUGGUCGGCAGUCAGACUGCGAGUGCUAAGAUCCGUAGUCGAAAGGGAAACAGCCCAGACCACCAGCUAAGGUCCCAAAAUAAUUGUUAAGUGGAAAAGGAUGUGGGGUUGCACAGACAACUAGGAUGUUAGCUUAGAAGCAGCUAUUCAUUCAAAGAGUGCGUAAUAGCUCACUAGUCGAGUGACCCUGCGCCGAAAAUGUACCGGGGCUAAAACAAUUUACCGAAGCUGUGGAUACCUUUAUAGGUAUGGUAGGAGAGCGUUCUAUGUGUGAUGAAGGUAUACCGUGAGGAGUGCUGGAACGCAUAGAAGUGAGAAUGCCGGUAUGAGUAGCGAAAGACAGGUGAGAAUCCUGUCCACCGUAAGACUAAGGUUUCCAGGGGAAGGCUCGUCCGCCCUGGGUUAGUCGGGACCUAAGGAGAGACCGAAAGGUGUAUCCGAUGGACAACAGGUUGAUAUUCCUGUACUAGAGUAUGUAGUGAUGGAGGGACGCAGUAGGCUAACUAAAGCAGACGAUUGGAAGAGUCUGUCUAAGCAGUGAGGUGUGAAUUGAGUCAAAUGCUUAAUUCUAUAACAUUGAGCUGUGAUGGGGAGCGAAGUUUAGUAGCGAAGUUAGUGACGUCACACUGCCAAGAAAAGCUUCUAGCGUUUAAACAUACUCUACCCGUACCGCAAACCGACACAGGUAGUCGAGGCGAGUAGCCUCAGGUGAGCGAGAGAACUCUCGUUAAGGAACUCGGCAAAAUGACCCCGUAACUUCGGGAGAAGGGGUGCUGACUUAAAGUCAGCCGCAGUGAAUAGGCCCAAGCAACUGUUUAUCAAAAACACAGCUCUCUGCUAAAUCGUAAGAUGAUGUAUAGGGGGUGACGCCUGCCCGGUGCUGGAAGGUUAAGAGGAGUGCUUAGCGUAAGCGAAGGUAUGAAUUGAAGCCCCAGUAAACGGCGGCCGUAACUAUAACGGUCCUAAGGUAGCGAAAUUCCUUGUCGGGUAAGUUCCGACCCGCACGAAAGGCGUAAUGAUUUGGGCACUGUCUCAACGAGAGACUCGGUGAAAUUUUAGUACCUGUGAAGAUGCAGGUUACCCGCGACAGGACGGAAAGACCCCAUGGAGCUUUACUGCAGUUUGAUAUUGAGUGUCUGUACCACAUGUACAGGAUAGGUAGGAGUCUAAGAGAUCGGGACGCCAGUUUCGAAGGAGACGCUGUUGGGAUACUACCCUUGUGUUAUGGCCACUCUAACCCAGAUAGGUGAUCCCUAUCGGAGACAGUGUCUGACGGGCAGUUUGACUGGGGCGGUCGCCUCCUAAAAGGUAACGGAGGCGCCCAAAGGUUCCCUCAGAAUGGUUGGAAAUCAUUCGCAGAGUGUAAAGGUAUAAGGGAGCUUGACUGCGAGAGCUACAACUCGAGCAGGGACGAAAGUCGGGCUUAGUGAUCCGGUGGUUCCGUAUGGAAGGGCCAUCGCUCAACGGAUAAAAGCUACCCUGGGGAUAACAGGCUUAUCUCCCCCAAGAGUUCACAUCGACGGGGAGGUUUGGCACCUCGAUGUCGGCUCGUCGCAUCCUGGGGCUGUAGUCGGUCCCAAGGGUUGGGCUGUUCGCCCAUUAAAGCGGCACGCGAGCUGGGUUCAGAACGUCGUGAGACAGUUCGGUCCCUAUCCGUCGCGGGCGUAGGAAAUUUGAGAGGAUCUGCUCCUAGUACGAGAGGACCAGAGUGGACUUACCGCUGGUGUACCAGUUGUCUUGCCAAAGGCAUCGCUGGGUAGCUAUGUAGGGAAGGGAUAAACGCUGAAAGCAUCUAAGUGUGAAACCCACCUCAAGAUGAGAUUUCCCAUGAUUAUAUAUCAGUAAGAGCCCUGAGAGAUGAUCAGGUAGAUAGGUUAGAAGUGGAAGUGUGGCGACACAUGUAGCGGACUAAUACUAAUAGCUCGAGGACUUAUCCAA